rnacentral:rRNA from 1 species
UACGUAGGUGACAAGCGUUGUCCGGAUUUACUGGGCGUAAAGAGCGCGCAGGCGGUCGAUCAAGUCGAGUGUGAAAGCCCCCGGCUCAGCUGGGGAGGGUCAUUCGAAACUGGUCGACUCGAAGGCAGGAGAGGGUAGUGGAAUUCCCGGUGUAGUGGUGAAAUGCGUAGAUAUCGGGAGGAACACCAGUGGCGAAGGCGACUACCUGGCCUGUUCUUGACGCUGAGGCGCGAAAGCUAGGGGAGCAAACGGG